rnacentral:rRNA from 1 species
UACGUAGGCAGCGAGCGUUGUUCGGAGUUACUGGGCGUAAAGAGUGCGUAGGCGGUUUUCUAAGUUUGGUGUGAAAUCUCCCGGCUCAACUGGGAGGGUGCGCCGAAGACUGGAAGGCUUGAGUAUGGGAGAGGUAAGCGGAAUUCCUGGUGUAGCGGUGAAAUGCGUAGAUAUCAGGAGGAACACCUGCGGUGUAGACGGCUUACUGGACCAUAACUGACGCUGAGGCCCGAAAGCGUGGGUAGCAAACCGG